UUUUCUUCGUCGGGUUUUUAUUCGUCCCCGCGCGCCCCUCCACGAUCCCUACCCAGGUCGCCGCACGCCGCCGCCGCCGCGAAUCCCCGGGGACGCCGCACGCCGCCGCCGCGAAUCCCCAGGGACGCCGCACGCCACCGCCGUCGUGAAUCACCAGAGACGCCGCUCGCCACCGCCGGGAAUCCCCAGGGAUGUCGCUGCCACCGCCGCGGAUCCCCAAGGGCGUGGUCGCGUGGCCCUGAUUGGAGGAGACCCUGCCGGCCUUGCCUUGUUUGGAGGACUGUGUGCGUCAAUCCCGACCUUCGCUUUCCCCCUUUUCCAUCAAGGACCGCCGCCGCUGCUUCGUCUUCUAUCUCUCCGGAUCCCCAUCAGCACCUGCUGGAUGGUGCUCCGGGAACAGGGCCGCACGGAGGCCCUCCUCCCGUAGGUUGUGCAGACGCGGCGCGCCUUGCAGCGGCUAUUCGGGAUGAGCGCGGGCGCGACAACCUUGUCCCAGUCGAUGAUGGCGGCGGCGAACGCCGGUGCUCCUUAUCGUCCUCUACCUCCAAGGACGCGCACCGGUACAGCUCAGACACCCCCGUCCCCAAAUCCCGUCCACCCAUCCGGCGUUGUCCAGCUCAUCCUCACGCUCGUGGAUUCGCCUCCUCCUGUACGCGACACUUGAAACGUGGACGUGGUGAGCUUCCCCUCUCUCUACCCCCAAAUCUGGAUGGCACUAGCAUCUGUUACAUACAUACAUAUGGAUAAACAUCUUGGUUUGGUUCUUUGGUUCAGUUUGUAUUCAGUCUGUAUGCGUCUAGAUGUGAAUGGCACUUGCAGUAUAUGGCUGCUCCUUGGUUGUCCAUUUGUAUGCGUCCAUAGGUAUGUAAACGGCCGCUCCUUGAUUGUUAUUUUGAACAAAACUCCCCCUUAAUUCUUCCUGUACUGAAAUGAAUCCUUGGAAGCUAGCACUACAUGUCUGUUGUUGCUGUCAUCUUGUACUACAUGGCUUUUUCCAAUUUAAUUUCAGUCAAGUUUAUGUGAAUAUAAUCUCCUUUGAUCUGAUGUUUUGGUCUGACUAUUUACAUUUUAAUUAUCAUGUACGUACUAAUGCAUUCUCAGAUAUUUGGUCGGUGUUAUCUUCUAAAAUAAUAGUAAAUGCAAUCCUUAAAUAGAAGUAGAAGAAGCAUGUCCGCAAACAGAAUUGUACAUUUUCAUUCCUUUGUAGAAGUGUAAUAGAUUAUUUCUUGAAAACACAAAGAUUUCAAGUAUAGCGUCAGAACAAAGAUACAAACUAUAAUUUCAACAUCCGGUAAAUGAUAUAUACAGCGAGUUGGGCGUGUCAAAUGUUGAUGCACAAACAGAAUACAUUGGAUUAAUUAUGUACUUUUUAGAACAGUUCGGAAUACAUAUUGGAAGAACAAAUUAUGUUAUGUUCCCGGCCCAUCUCUUUCCGCUAUCUUGCUGCUGCAGGACCUGGGAGUUUUAGUGGCUAAUAUAAUUUUGACAAUUUUGCUGCAAUAUCUUCAGUUUCUCUAUUGAUUCGGAUAAUUUUGCUGCUCCAAUAGUCUGAAGUAGAAUCUCCGUCUUCUAUCUCAACGUCGGCGGCCCGGUGACGCGACCAGAUCACUGCAAAUUGUCCCUUCAGUCUUGAUCAAUAACCAGAUAUUGGCAAGCUUGAGUUAUCCAUGGAUGCAUGGAAAAGAUUAUUCAUUGUUGUGAUAUGCAUAUCUGUAGGAUUAAAUUAAUCUGAAUUAUGAGCUAUGUCACACUUUGCAGAGUACAGAGACUUCAGUUCACAUAAUCUGUUUGUACAUAUGUUGAUGUCAGGUGGAGGUGGUCGUGCUGGCGCCACUGUUUUGCUUCGUGCUGAUGCGGUAUAAAAGUGCCUCCUCGGCAGAUGAGGACCUGAGCGUGGCCGUGCUAAUGAGGAUGCAGGAUCCACCGCCACCGGCCAGUCCGAGUGCGUUGUUGUUUUCAUUAUUUGGGUCCUAGGGAUUUCGAAAUCAGGUGUUCGCCCCUGAUGAUUUCCGGGAGAUAAACUGAUUUCAUUGGCAUCAUCUAUUUCAUUGCCUCACCAAUAUCCAUGUGAGCCUGAGUUGUAAGUGGAUGUACACAUUGCGUGGCUAUGUUCCUGCAGGUGAUUGCAGAGAACUUGGCAGGCAGAUCAAUUACGAGGAGGUCAAGGCUGAGCUGAAGUGGGGUGGGCGCCAACAUGAAGGAGCUGGAGAUAUCUCUAUUUUUGUCAAUCAUUAUUCAGGCUCUAAGCUUCCCCUUUCCCUAUACCACAUUACUUGAUAUUAUUAAAUUCAGUACGCUUACUCAACUGUGAACAAGUUCAUGUGGUAAGUAGGAUCAACAAGAGUUGGCUGGCAACUGCUAUGUAUAUGUUAUUAUGGAUCAGCCAAGGUGGUUAAAUUUUAAUUUUUUUUCCUUUUUCUUAAUUUAUGCCCUUAAGUUUAUGCUGUUAAAUGCAUACACAUAACUUAGUUCCAGAUUUAACAAGAGUACAUUUUACAAUGAACUUCAUAGCUGAUGUUGAUCAUAAUUAGUAAGUGUACAAAGCAUUUCAAGGAAUUUCUGUUUUGUGCAUAUUGUAUAUUGCAGACUUGCAGUGAAGUAGUGCCAUCUAAGUACCAGAUGUAUGUUAUUUUCAAAUAAGCUUUUCUUAAAAUGGAAAAUACUAAAAAGCAAAUUGUGCCACACCGUGCAAUUAAGGUGCCUUUUACUGGAAACUCAAUGCAACUUCUUGUUAUUUUCAAAUAAGCUUUUCUUAAAAUGGAAAAUACUAAAAAGCAGAUUGUGCCACACCGUGCAAUUAAGGUGCCUUUUACUGGAAACUCAAUGCAACUUCUUGUUAUUCCUUCUGAACCUAGCAAUUAAGCCAUAUCUUGUUUUCACUCCUUCUGAACCUAGCAAAAUGACCUGCUUGGACCGAACGAGGACAGGUGUGUGGUGGUGGACAUAAGAUGCACGGCGAACAUUGAGCUACAGAAGAACAUUAUGAAAGAGGUUGGAGAGGCUGGAGGAGACCAUAUACCAACACAAAGCGCAUCUUGAUGGCCAUCAAUGAGGAGCUGGACCUGCUACACCAGGCUAAUUGCAAGCAUCGGGAUGAUUUGGACGAGAUGACUGAUGAGGACAUGAGCGUUGUCGGAUGAUUUGGACGAGAGGACUGUAGCACGACGCAAUGAAGAGCUAGAUCGUCCGUCCGCUCCCAGCUCACUUCCCAGUUCUGUUGUGCUGCCCCGUGCACCAACCAUCCAGUAAAGGUUCUGAGGUUAACAUCUCUUUUGCGAGUUUCGUAUAACUUUCGUUGUCACUUUAUUAUCUAUUGAUCCACAUGUUUGUAUUUUAGCAGACAUGAGUACUUUAUCAUCUUUCCAGGAAGAAAUUACUAGAGAGAAGAAAACCCAGUUUUACAAGUAGUGACAGUCCAACAUCAUAUUGACACGUCUGGUUUCUCUUUCCACAAGCAGGGUCGAGUGGGUUGAAAAUAAAUGCUGGAAAAGAUAUUAAAAUUCAAAUCUGGCUUAUUUUUCUCAAUAUGGGUUCAGAAGGAAAUUGUCGUUGAGCUUCUAUCUAAAGAUACCCGUGAGCCCGCUGUUGAACUCGCUAAAAAUGGAGAUAGACAUGGAUUUAACGGUUCUCAUUCAUUUAAAUCUUAGUGAAUUGAUACCAGUUUCCAUUUGGAACUGAGAUAACGAGGAAUCGUUUCCUUCAUGAUACUGCAUGUAUGAGCUUUUUUCUUUCGGUGUAGGCCAAUAUUGUACAAAGUUAUUUCCUAAAAUUAUAUUCGAAGGUGUCUUCUAUGAGAGUAACCAUCUCAAUCUUUUUUC